UAGAAAGGAGGGUAAAACACUCGCCGCUACUGCCGGAAGUGAGACAUGUUUUGUACCCUGGGGAAUAUUAUGUUAUCAAUAAAAUCCUUCUUUUUUCUAUUUUAUUUUCCAGCCUCCUGAUGGUCGGCUGACCAAGGAUGUGCUUGUUGGAGUGGGCGGCACUGGAGACGUCUACAAGGUAAGUUACCAACCAAUUCCUAGAGAGUAGGGGAACUGAACAAGAUUGUGAUCACUACACACAAUCACACAAUGAUUUAGGCAGACAUAUCAAGCUUCUGGUUUGGGGGCUGCAUUAGACCCUCUCUUUCCUACUUGUAUAUAAGUCAACCUUUCUGUCUGUAUUACAGGGACGACACCAUCGUAGAGGCGUGGUAGCGGUGAAGAUCGCCAACAUCAGCCGAGUACUGUAUCUUUAUAAUUCCAAUCACUAUAUAUCAAUCCUAUUUGUGUAGAUGUCUAUGUGAACUAAAGGGAUUUCUAUUACUCCACUCCAGGAUGAAGAGUCAGUCUGCAGGGAGCUGAAGUUUCUCCAGCAGUUCGGAGGCCACAAGAACAUCGCCUCUUACUAUGGAGCCUACUACAGGGCUCCACUCACGGAGUGCUCAUCGGAGCUCUUGGAAGUAAGAAAUGAUUUACUGUAUCGUGUUCAUUCCUCUUGUGCCAAAACAAUCUCCACUGGAAGUGACAGAAUACAUGACCUGAAAUAAUUUCUAUAUAUUGCAGAUUGUUCUUGAAUACUGUGGUGGAGGCUCUCUGUACAACCUCAUCAGUAAGACCAAUGGCCAAUCCCUGAAGGAGACCUGGAUUGGCUAUGUCUGCAAGGAGGUUUUAAAGGUAAGGCCAGAUUUACCCCUUAAGGACUCUUCUUUAAUUGCAUCAAUUAUAUAUACAAUCUCUUUGUUGGGAAUGUUUAUAAUCUUAUAACCUACAUCUCAAUCUCCCCAGGGGCUGCACCACAUCCACAAGAACGGGGCCGUUCAUAAAGACAUCAAGAGCCCGAACAUCAUGCUCACAGAGACGGCCAAAGUGAAGAUCAGUGAGUAAAACUUACAGUUAUAAGAGUAAUGGAUGGUGGGGAGCUUCUGUGAAUAUGGAGUCAGGGGGUUUCAUAAUUCAGGUUUCUAUCUUAUUUGGUUAAACAAGUUAUUUUCCAUUAAUGGAUUCUAUCUGUCAUUUCAGUCGACUUUGGACACAGCUGGGACCUGGACCCGCAAACUGGGUUGUGCCACGAAGCGGAAGGGACACCACAUUGGAUGGCACCCGAGGCCAUAAGGCAGAAGGGCCAGCGCCUGGCGUACGACACCAAAUGUGACAUCUGGUCGCUGGGGAUAACCGCCAUCGAAAUGGCUGAAGGAAAACCACCAUACACAGGGCAAUAUCCAGUUGAGGACCUGAUAAUUGAAGCCCAACCACCGAAGCUUCAAUCGAACACCUGGUCACAGCAUUUUGUGUCCUUCUUGGAGUCCUGUCUGAAAAAGGAUCCUUCGGAGAGAGCGAGUGCUGAAGAACUCCUGCAGCACCCAUUCGUCACCCAAAUACCACCUAAGAAGAUCGUCAGGGCUGAGAUAGAAGAACAUCUCCGGACUCUGCAGAACUUGCCGGCCAAGAAAGGACUGAAGGGAGUUGCUCUCUCAAAGCUGCGGCGUGCUUGUGACUUCUGCACACAGACAUCGGCAGAACAAGAAGCAGCUCUGCAAAUGGCCCUGGAAGGCUUCUCCUGUUAUUGAUAUUGUGGCCAAUAACAUCAACAGCCCAGAAUCAGUUUCCUAAAUCACAGCCAAGGAAAAAGAAACAUCCACAGGAUCCAGUGGCGUCUGCAGCUCCACCAGCAACAUCUCCUUUCAAGCUGAUGCAGUUCAGCAAGUGGUAACUUCAAGAUUCCUGCAAC